GCAGUUUCAAAUUCCAAAAGUAUUAAGUAUAUUAUAUCACCACGACUGGACAUUGCAUUGUAAGAACUGUUCCAAAGGAAAUGAAGUGCUUCCUAGAUUGAGUUAAAUGGACAGCAGCUGAGAUCAACAGUGACAGAUGGAGAAAUGGAGGCAUUUAAAAACAAGGAUUAUGGUCAGAGAAUAAAUCUAAAAAUUGAUCUUAUUUCUGCAAACUUUCCUCGGGAGUUCUGUCGGUGGCAUUUCACUGGGCUUUAUUCAUUUCUUCUGGGUGACUGCUCAUGAACCACAAGUCUGUGGUGUUCUAGGAGGUGACUAUUGACCUGGUGGACCGCCCCGGCCCCGUGGGAACUACAUGAGCUGAGUUCAGUGUUGCCUGCAUCCUGGUGGACUGCCUGGUAGGCACAAUAAACACGUGGAAACAGAAAGUUGUUUGCUUUGUGACGGGAAAAAAUUCCUGACAUUUCUCGAGAUGCACAGUGCAGAGAAGUGGACCAAGAACUGCUCAGGGUUGGCCAACGAUGCCUGAAAACAAGGCUGGCCUUGGGAAGCAGUCUCACCCCAGCCUUGCUUAUUAAACCAUCUGCCACCGUGGGACAGUCAAACGUAGCUGUGGGGAAAUGUGUCAAGAAGUAGAGUCCCCAUUCCAAUUUCAAACAAUGCAGGCCCUUACCCAACCCUGUGCUUUAUUUGGAGGAUGAAAAUAAACACACCGGCAGGAUUGAUUGCUAAUAACAGAUCAUAUAAUGAACUACAAAGGGGUUCUACAUCAGGUAGACCACUAACUCCCCCCCACACACACACACACAAACACACAGAGAGAGAUUAAUUCUUUAGCCAGUUAAGAACACAGACUUGGUAGAUUUAAAAAAAAAAAAAACACAAAAAACUCUUCUCUCA